rnacentral:lncRNA from 1 species
GGAGGGGUUGCCGAGUUUUGGCAUCAAAUUCUUCAGUCCAGCUGCUCUCUUUUAAGUGUCAAUGGCCUUACUCUAUAGCAUCCAGACUGGUCAAGGUCCCUAUAAUGAGAAACCCAAGUUACAGGUAUGUAAUUUUCACAGUUUUUUGCCGAGAUCUCCAAGUUGGUGACAAAUUGAUAUACCACUGUCUGUACGGAAGACUGCUUUUAGAAAACAGGCCACACUCAGUUGAAACACUAUGCCUGAAGGAUUGCGCAAUUUUAAACUUCUGAGAUAUAAAAAACAUCCUUCACCCAAGUCUCUUGUAGAAUGUUGAACUAUAAAGCGUAUUGUUUAAGCUUGGAAAGCCCUGCCAGAACAACAAGAUGUGAGAAAAAUCUUCAGGUACCAGGAACCAGGAGAUCAUGGAAAAGCAACUAACGAUGAUGGGAAGAGUGGAACAUUGAAAUUGGCAUUUGGCACUCAGAAGAUUCCAGGAAUCUGUUGCUCUUCUGAACGUUUCAGGGUUAGUCGAUGUCUACAUGUAGUGGUGCAAAGCAACCUCAGCCCUAUGGUCCAGUAUUUGCCCAUCAAAACUUGUCUUAUGAUUUAUAGAACUGGAACUUCACUGCAUGUUGAAGAGUAUGAAUUUAAAAAUAAUUGUGAACACAUCUUCGUCAUCGAUUCUUGUACCUCUUCAGUGUGCUAA